rnacentral:rRNA from 1 species
ACUAUAGAGCUUUUAGUGGAUGCCUAAGGCAUUAAGAAAGAUUAGACGUUGUGAUUACGAAAAGCUUGAUGAUAGACAAUAGAUGUGUCUGAUAUCUCAAGAUUUCUGAUUGGGAAAACUAUAAAUGUGAAAUUAUAAGAUUUUCCCGUAAGAAUAUAAUAUUUGACCUUGCUAACUGAAACAUCUUAGUAGCAAGAGGAAAAGAAACCAACCGAGAUUCCGUUAGUAGUGGCGAGCGAAUGCGGAUCAGGCUUAUAUUCUAAUGGUCACAGCAUAGAAAAAUCUGGAAAGGUUUGCCAAAGACGGUGAAAGCCCUGUAAUAUGAUGUGCCAUUAAAAUUAAAGUAAGGUAAUACACGUGGAAUAUUGCCUGGAAACAAAGGAGGACCACCUUCUAAGCCUAAAUAUUUCUUAAUGACCGAUAGUGGACAAGUACCGUGAGGAAAGGUGAAAAGUAUUCUGAAAAGAUGGUGAAAUAGAUCCUGAAACUGAUUGCUUACGAGCUGUCGUAGCAAAUAUUGUAAUCUGUAACGCGUACCUUUUGCAUAAUGGGUCAGCAAGUGAAUGCAUACAGCAAGCUUAAGUCGUUAGAUGGAGGCAUAGUAACAACAAAUUUUGUAUUAAGUUGUAUGUUUUCGACCCGAAGCCGAGUGAUCUAUCCAUGAUCAGUUGAAGUGGCGGUAACACGUCAUGGAGACCGAACCCACGUAUGUGGAAAAAUACGGGGAUGAAUUGUGGAUAGGGGUGAAAGGCUAGUCAAACUCGUAGUAGCUGUUUUCUGCGAAAUCUAUUGAGGUAGAGCGUUGUCGAAUACUUAGCAUAGGAGGUGGAGCACUAGUUAGGCUAGGGGAGCCAAAAAACUUUACCGAACUUAAUUAACCUUCGAAUGCCUAUGGUGUACGAAACUUAUGUCCUUUUAAUUAUUUGAUAGUUAUUAAGAUUUUUAUAUCUUAAGUUAUACAUAUUUAAUUUAACGGCAACAGGCAGAAUAUGGGUGCUAAGAUCCGUAUUCAAAAGGGAAACAACCCAGAUCGCUAGCUAAGGUCCAAAAGAAUUAACUUAGUGGAUGAAAAUGUGAAUGUACGAAGAUUUUCGGGAGUGGGCUUAGAAGCAGCCAUCCUUUAAAGAAAGCGUAAUAGCUCACCGAAAAAGUAGUACUCUUUGCAUUUAAAAUGUAAAUGGACUCAAGUGAAUCACCGAAGCUGCGGAAUUAAAUAAACAAUUGGUAGCAGAACGUUCUAUAAAUGGUAGAAGAUAAAUUGGAAAAUUUAUUGAACAGAUUAGAAUUGAAAAUGCUGACAUGAGUAACGAUAAUUGAUGUAAAAAACAUCAUCGCCGAAAGUUCAAGGGUUCCUGUACACGGUAAAUCCGUACAGUGGUCAGCAGGUCCUAAGAUUUAAGCCAAUGCUUGAAUUAAUGGAAAUCUAGAAAAUAUCCUAGAGCCUUCAGAUUAGUGACAAAAAUUUAUUGCAUUUGAUAACUAAUUAGAUUGUUAUGAAUUCAAUAAUUUUUCUGGAAAUAGCUAUCUGUUUUUAUUCCAUAAUGCGAAUAAUAUUAUGUCUGUACCCGAAUCCGACACAGGUGAACUGGUAGAGUAUACUAAGCGUAUGAGAGAACAAUACUGAAGGAACUCGGCAAAAUGACUCCGUAACUUCGGAGAAGGGGUACUGCGGAUUUAUAAAGAUCCGUGUGUGGCACUGAACAGGGGGGGGCGACUGUUUAUCAAAAACACAGACUCUGCAAAAUUUAAGAAUGAUGUAUAGGGUCUGACAUCUGCCCGUGCUGGAAGAUUGAAGAUAACGACGUUUCCUAUAUGUGGAGGCUAAGUUUCCAAGUCCCAGUAAACGGCGGCCGUAACUAUGACGGUCCUAAGGUAGCGAAAUUCCUUGUCGGGUAAAUUCCGACGUGCAUGAAUGUGUAACGACUUUCCCACUGUCUCCAGUAUUGACUCAGUGAAAUUGAAAUUUCCGUGAACAUGCGAGUGCUGACGGCCAGACGGAAAGACCCCAUGCACUUUACUACAUCUUUAAAUUGUACAUGGUUCGAGAAUGUGUAGUAUAAAUAGGAGCUUUGGACAUCUUACUAUUUGGUAAUUAUGAAGGCGUAGCUGAAAUACUAUUUUUUCAUCUUACCAUUACUUAUGGAAGUAUUAUACUUCUAGACCGUUUAUGGAGGGUAGUUUGACUGGGGCGGUUGCCUGCUAAAAAGUAACGAGGCGCACAAAGGUAAGCUCACAUUGGAUGGAAACCAAUGAUUUGGGUGUAAUGCUUUUAAGCUUGCCUGACUACAAGACUUACAAGUCGCGUAGAGACGAAAGUCAGUCAUAGUGAUCCGGUGAUCCUGUGUGUAAGGUCAUCGCUCAACGGAUAAAAGGUACGCUGGGGAUAACAGCUUAUGACUCUCAAGAGACCGCAUCUACGGAGUUGUUUGGCACCUCGAUGUCGCUCAUCACAUCCUGGAGCUGAAGUAGUUCCAAGGGUUUGGCUGUUCGCCAAUUAAAGUGAUACGUGAGCUGGUUCAGAACGUCGUGAGACAGUUCGGUCCCUAUCUACCGUCAGUUUGAGAGAAUACUAGAUUUUUUUCCCUAGUACGAGAGAUCGGGAAAAGUACGCCUAUUGUGACCCGGUUGUUCUGCUUGGGGCAUCGCCGGAUAGCUACGCGUGACAAGAUAACUACUGAAAUCAUAUAAGUAGGAAACUUUAUCUAUGCUUAUUCUCUCAGAAGAAUAGUGAAAGAUUAUCACUUUGAUAGGGCAAGUGUGCACAUUUCGUGAGAAAUUGAAGCUGAUUGCUACUAAUUAUUCGUCAUUCUGUUUUUAU